rnacentral:misc_RNA from 1 species
GCAAGAUUAGCUUCUUUGGAUUAUUCCAAGCAAGCCCAUGCUGGUAUAGUCGCUCAUGGUUUUGGGUUGGAUACUGUAGCAAACACAACACUAGUUGACAUUUAUAGCAAAUGGGAAAGAGUAACAGAUUCUCGGUACGUUUUUGAAAAUUGGCAUUGCAACAAUGUCAGUGUUAUCCGGAGAAAAGGUUACGCUAAAGUGAGUGACAGAGUAUUCUUUGGCUUUCUAUGAAAGACACGACGGGGGCCUUUUUAAAAUAA